AACGAACGCUGGCGGUAUGCUUAACACAUGCAAGUCGAACGAAUGCCUUUGGAGCUUGCUUCAAAGUCGUUAGUGGCAAACGGGUGAGUAACACGUGGGAAUCUACCUAUCAGUACGGAAUAACAUUUGGAAACAGAUGCUAAUACCGUAUAUUCUCUUCGGAGGAAAGAUUUAUCGCUGAUAGAUGAGCCCGCGUAAGAUUAGGUAGUUGGUAGGGUAAUGGCCUACCAAGCCGACGAUCUUUAGCUGAUCUGAGAGGAUGAUCAGCCACACUGGGACUGAGACACGGCCCAGACUCCUACGGGAGGCAGCAGUGGGGAAUAUUGGACAAUGGGCGAAAGCCUGAUCCAGCAAUACCGCGUGAACGAUGAAGGCCUUAGGGUUGUAAAGUUCUUUUAGUUGGGAAGAUAAUGACGGUACCAACAGAAAAAGCCCCGGCUAACUCCGUGCCAGCCGCCGCAGUAAAAC
rnacentral:rRNA from 1 species